GACGAACGCUGGCGGCGUGCCUAAUACAUGCAAGUCGAGCGCAGGAAGCCGUCUGAACCCUUCGGGGGCACGACGGUGGAAUGAGGGGCGGACGGGUGAGUAACACGUAAAGAACCUGCCCAUAGGUCUGGGAUAACCACGAGAAAUCGGGGCUAAUACCGGGUGUGUCAUCGGACCGCAUGGUCCGCUGAUGAAAGGCGCUCCGGCGUCGCCCAUGGAUGGCUUUGCGGUGCAUUAGCUAGUUGGUGGGGUAACGGCCCACCAAGGCGACGAUGCAUAGCCGACCUAAGAGGGUGAUCGGCCACACUGGGACUGAGACACGGCCCAGACUCCUACGGGAGGCAGCAGUAGGGAAUCUUCCACAAUGGACGAAAGUCUGAUGGAGCAACGCCGCGUGAACGAUGAAGGCUUUCGGGUCGUAAAGUUCUGUUGUAAGGGAAGAACAAGUGCCGCAGGCAAUGGCGGCACCUUGACGGUACCUUGCGAGAAAGCCACGGCUAACUACGUGCCAGCAGCCGCCGCGG
rnacentral:rRNA from 1 species